rnacentral:lncRNA from 1 species
UAUAAAACAGAUAUAUUGUUCCCAUUUCCCAAAUAAUGAAACGGAAGCGCCGAAAAUAUCUCCUAUAGGGCUCUUCAAACUGUGGUCAACUUAGUAAAUGAUGUUGACAGUGGAAGUGUGAUCAUUUUAUUUUCCUGCCUUUGGAAUUGAAGAUUGUAAUUUUGCAAAAAUUUUGUUGAAGAUGAUGUAGCUUUGGUUCAGAGAGUAAGUCAUUCCAUUUAUAUCAAUAUUCUUAAGGCAAUGUGCUAGGUGACGAGCCAUAUUGAUGACAAAGACAGAGCUCCUAUUUUCAUGACAUUCCAGUGUGGUGGCAGAAACAAGCAAGUAAAUAAUUCCAGUACACACUUCUGUUGAUUUAUUUCGUGAAUGGUGACUGGCUAUUUAAAAAGACUAAAUCAAAUUAAUUUUCUGAUAAUGAAUAAAAAAGGAUAGCC